AUAUUGCUCGGACUCUUCAAAAAUGUUGAUAGAUGCAUGUCAAAUCUUCUAAAAAGUAGUGCAUUUUUGGAAGAUUCUACACUAAUAUGGCAAUAUUUUUGGAGAGUCCGAGCAACAUUU